rnacentral:sRNA from 2 species
GAGAUUGAGGAUACUCUUAUUGCUCCUUUUCACUCCGAUGUCUUUCACGGUCCGUUGAUCGUACCAUGCUGUUUUUGAAUUUCCAAUUGUGGACAGCGAUUGCACCAGCCAGCAAAUUCACGCUUAAGACCGUAUCACAUUAUUCAUGUGUUCAAGGAAUGUGGGAGUUGAAGCAAGGAGCCCGUCAACAGACUCAGCCAACUCGUCAUGGAAUGUGAGGUAUACUAGUAUGUGUGCUAAGGUUAAAUGGAGCUGGUAUCACAUUUUAUAGAAAUCCAAUAUCUGGACAGCUGACCCCCUUGAUAUAAUCUGAUACGUAUAUCGUCCCAACAGUUACUAGUUGGCCGGCUCUCCCAGGGUUAACUGUUUUCAGAAUCAGAUUUGCGUAACUGGGUGUUUGGCGGUCGAAUUCUGCACUCUAGCAGGGAAACAGUUUUUAUCUCCUGAAGUUCGAUGGCGAUAGUCCACCCCUUCGCAGUCCAAGGUACGCAACCCUUCACGCCAGAUCCCGGCUGCAGGUUUCCCCUCAGCUGUUACCUUGUUGAUGUCAACUUCCCCUUGCCCCACCCUAGCAUCCUACCAGCCACAGGCAAAACGAACUCGAUAUUAUUCGAUAUCUAAGUCUCCUACGGGGACAACCAAGCGCUUCCUUACGAACUCGGGAAAUUUUCUCUUCUACGCAUGAUAGAAAGAUUAUCUAGCCAAUUUCGUGGCCAAUGAUUUCUAGGGAGAAUAUACGUGUAUAUAUCGUUAUGGUAUCCGCCCGAAAGCAACCAAUAGUACUGCGCAUAAAUGUACUGAGAAGGGGAAAUUUGACCCUAGUAGGCCACUUCUUCCCUAGGCUAUUGUUCCCUACGAACUGGCUUGGAUUGUGGACGUAUUGAAGACGAUCGAAGGGUUCUGGAAAUGAACCUGGCAGGUAUCCAGGAAGGAGGAAUCACAAUCACACAUUGCCAAG